CUCUGUCUUCAGUGUAACUAUCAGCAGUCAGUCAGUACUCAGAGCAUUCCCUGACAGAGGACGCCUGAACCUCCAGCAUGCCCGCACCUGGAACCUACAGCAUAACAAAGUGGUUUGAAUGCAGAACAACAGCCGCCCGUCCCGUACCGCAGCCUCCUCUGGCUACCAAAGGAGUGCACCUUCCUGCAGUCUGCCACAGUUUGAGCGCAGCAAGGCUAAAUGAGGGCUGAACAAUGGAACCCAGUGGAGACGUGAAGAAUGGCUCACCUGCCUGUGGAGGUGACCGCAUACAGGAGGGCACGGAGACCUUUCUGCCAUGAGGUGCCGUUUAAAUGAACAUCCAUCUCAACUUCUGUUAUGAAGUGCCUGCUUUUAUUUGUAAACUAUCUAUUUUACAUGAUUGCACUUGACCUAACACAAAGCCAAGCUAAAAUUUUACAGUACACCAUCAACAUCUGCCAGCCAAAUCUUCCCUCGUCACACCUGUGCAACCAGUCUUCAAUUACACCCUGGGCACACUUGCAUAAUCACAGAUAUCAGCCAUGUGGGGACGAGGCAUACGCAGACGUCUCAGCUGUGUUAACUCCUCCGUGCUCCAAAAAGAGGGGAAAGAAAAUUCUGCACAUGGAACUCAUAACCCUUAUGAUUUAUACACAUGUAUGUGGGUUUAUAUAUACUUCAAAAUAAACAAUUCAGUAAUCAAGGGAUCAGUUGAGAAGAUUUUCAUUGCUUUUACCAGAAGACAACUGCACAUGCACAGAAGCAGAGGGCAAAGACCACGACUUCAGGCUUAUCUCUAUGCAAAACUGAACUACUUCACAUCGAUUUAAAAACUCCUUCAACUAGGAGUUUAUCCUUAAAAUGGGGUUAUAUAUGCAUCAAUACACAAACGUAUAUAGAAAUGUGUUUCAAAUGUGAUUUCCAGACCAACGCUAAGUAAAUAAAGAAAAAUCAAGAUAAUUAAGAUAUCUGAUUCUAAGACAGAAAUCUGAGGGGAGAAGAGCAGAGCAGAGUCCAUUUUCACAGACUGGAGGAGAGUAAGUCCUGGUGCUAAACU